GAGUUUGAUCAUGGCUCAGAUUGAACGCUGGCGGCAUGCCUUACACAUGCAAGUCGAACGGCAGCACGGGAGCUUGCUCCUGGUGGCGAGUGGCGAACGGGUGAGUAAUGCAUCGGAACGUAUCCUGGAGUGGGGGAUAACGUAGCGAAAGUUACGCUAAUACCGCAUAUUCUGUGAGCAGGAAAGCGGGGGACCUUCGGGCCUCGCGCUCUUGGAGCGGCCGAUGUCGGAUUAGCUAGUUGGUGAGGUAAAGGCUCACCAAGGCGACGAUCCGUAGCAGGUCUGAGAGGAUGAUCUGCCACACUGGAACUGAGACACGGUCCAGACUCCUACGGGAGGCAGCAGUGGGGAAUUCUGGACAAUGGGGGCAACCCUGAUCCAGCCAUGCCGCGUGAGUGAAGAAGGCC
rnacentral:rRNA from 1 species